rnacentral:lncRNA from 1 species
GAAAACACACCUAGAUCGCAAGAUUUGGCCAUCGGAAACACCCGAAUGAGCCUCCGAAAAAUCUGUCCAAAACUGUCCAAAAACAGCCCGGAUUCCUUCAAUUUCUGGCCAGCAACGGUGGUUCCAGUGGCUGAGGUUGGUCGGGAUGAGAAGAGGGAGGUGGCCCGGUUCUUUUGGGACUGGUGUCACCCAAAACGGAGGCGUGUGGGGACGGUGGUGGAGGAGAGAAGUUGGCUGCCAAAAGAGAGAAACCCAGAAAAUCCCUGCUGUGUCGCAAGGAGUAAGAAUAGAAAUAGGGAGGCCCGGGUACUUUAUCGAUACUGUAGCAGUAACAAAUUUUAAAAUUCUCAUUACGUCCUUUACGUUUCUUGACCAUUCCUCCUUCGUUACAACUCAGAAUCUGGCGUGCCGCAUGUCUACGAACUCAUUUCGACGAGCCCAACGCAACGAUAUAACUCAAUUCCCCAAAUUCUUUCCCG